rnacentral:lncRNA from 1 species
UUGCUUAAGUAACAGAAAGAAUGCAUUGAAACCUCAGUGCUUUGCAUCUCAGGCCAUUCGCUCCAGCAGAGGCCCAGGGAGGGAAGAUGACUUGUGCAGAGCCUCUUUCAGGGUGUGUGGCCAGUAUUCUCUUACCUAUCAGGGCCUUAAUCUCAGACUACAGGAGCCGGUCUGCCUGCAUGGUGCCACUACCCCAGGAGGCUUGCUGCCCCCCCUGGACCCUUGCCUCUGCCACCACCACCCUAUGUAAGUGCCGCUGUCUCCCCGUCUUUGUGCUUUCCUGAUGGCUUCCAGCUUUCAGGCACGAGCUUGCGAUUAGCUGAGUGUGGUGAGGGAAUGCCACCUCCUGAACAGCCUACGUGACAAGAGGCGGGCUGCGCUCCCACCUAUUUUGGAUUCUUCUAAAAUAGACUGUUUAGAUGCUGCAUGGUCAAAAAACAACAGGUGUCCUCCACAGUUCUAAAUAUAGUGUUCUUGAGUGAGGGAAAAAACAAAGCUUUGUCCCCCACAAACAAUACCCGUGUUGGGCAGUGAGUCAGGCAGGCAGCAGCCAGGAAAGGCAAGCGAGGGGGAUUUUUCUAGGGGAAUGCAUCCCCUCUUGACUGAGUCUUAGCAGACAGGAACAAGUUGGGGCGGGGACUAGAGUCCAGUGGAGGAUGAGAUGUUCUGUUAGGGUUUGGAUGUGAGGUGGCCCCCAAAAGCUCAUGUGUGAGACAAUGCAAGAAGGCUCAGAGGAAAAAUGAUGGGGUUAUGAGAGCCUUAACCCUAUCAGUGAAUUAAUCCCUGAUGGGAUUCACUGAGUGGUAACAAAGGCAGUUAAGGUAUGGCUGGUGGAGGUGAGUCCCUGGGGGCAUGACUUUGGGGUAUAUAUUUUCUAUCUGGCUAGUGGAGUCUCUCUCUGUUUUCUGAUCAUCAUGUGAGUCACUUCCCUCCAUCACACUCUUCCGCCAUGAUGUUCAGCCUCACCUCCAGCCCCAAGGAAUGGAGUCUGCUGUCUAUGGAUUGAGACCUCCGAAAUCAUGAGCCCUCAAAUAAAUUUUUCCUCCUCUAAAAUUGUUCUUAUCGCAUAUUUUAGUCCCAGGAGUGAAAAAGGUGCUAAAACUAUGUUUCUACAGAACAGAGAUGCCCCCAAGUUAAUGGAGUGGAGACCUUUAUAGUCCUGGAAGUCUUCGCAUGGAGAAAUGGUCAAGGGGAGCAGGUUCCUACAGGCACAGCUCACAGAUGGUGAGCAUCUAAGGCUGUGCUGUUGACUACUGUAGCCACUAGCCCCAGGUGAUGUUUGG